CGGGGGCACGGGGGGCCUACCGGGAGGCAGCAGUAGGGAAUAUUGGGCAAUGGGCGAAAGCCUGACCCAGCGACGCCGCGUGAGGGAUGAAGGUCUUCGGAUUGUAAACCUCUUUCAGUAGGGAAGAAGCGAAAGUGACGGUACCUAAAGAAGAAGCACCGGCUAACUAUGUGCCAGCAGCCGCGGUAAUACAUAGGGUGCAAGCGUUGUCCGGAAUUAUUGGGCGUAAAGAGCUCGUAGGUCGUUUGUCGCGUCGAUUGUGAAAAUCUGAGGCUCAACCUCAGACCUGCAGUCGAUACGGGCAAACUAGAGUGUGGUAGGGGAGACUGGAAUUCCUGGUGUAGCGGUGGAAUGCGCAGAUAUCAGGAGGAACACCAAUGGCGAAGGCAGGUCUCUGGGCCAUAACUGACACUGAGGAGCGAAAGUGCGGGGAGCGAACAGGAUUAGAUACCCUGGUAGUCCGCACCGUAAACGGUGGGCACUAGUUGUGGGAACCUUCCACGGUUUCCGCGACGCAGCAAACGCAUUAAGUGCCCCGCCUGGGGAGUACGAUCGCAAGAU
rnacentral:rRNA from 1 species